GACAGAGGAUGCAAGCGUUAUCCGGAAUGAUUGGGCGUAAAGCGUCUGUAGGUGGCUUUUUAAGUCCGCCGUCAAAUCCCAGGGCUCAACCCUGGACAGGCGGUGGAAACUACCAAGCUGGAGUACGGUAGGGGCAGGAGGGAAUUUCCGGUGGAGCGGUGAAAUGCGUAGAGAUCGGGAGGAACACCCGUGGCGAAGGCGCCAUCUGGACCAGCACUGACGCUGAG
rnacentral:rRNA from 1 species